AAUAAUGAAAAGCUGAAAUCAUGCGCAAUGAUCAAUGUCAUAUCGAAUCUAAAAUUCAACAAUCAACAUGAUUGAAUAUAUAACCUCAACAUCAAUAAUGAAAAGCUGAAAUCAUGCGCAAUGAUCAAUGUCAUAUCGAAUCUAAAAUUCAACAAUCAACAUGAUUGAAUAUAUAACCUCAACAUCAAUAAUGAAAAGCUGAAAUCAUGCGCAAUGAUCAAUGUCAUAUCGAAUCUAAAAUUCAACAAUCAACAUGAUUGAAUAUAUAACCUCAACAUCAAUAAUGAAAAGCUGAAAUCAUGCGCAAUGAUCAAUGUCAUAUCGAAUCUAAAAUUCAACAAUCAACAUGAUUGAAUAUAUAACCUCAACAUCAAUAAUGAAAAGCUGAAAUCCUGCGCAAUGAUCAAUGUCAUAUCGAAUCUAAAAUUCAAUAAUCAACAUGAUUGAAUAUAUAACCUCAACAUCAAUAAUGAAAAGCUGAAAUCAUGCGCAAUGAUCAAUGUCAUAUCGAAUCUAAAAUUCAAUAAUCAACAUGAUUGAAUAUAUAACCUCAACAUCAAUAAUGAAAAGCUGAAAUCAUGCGCAAUGAUCAAUGUCAAAUUGAAUCUAAAAUUCAACAAUCAACAUGAUUGAAUAUAUAACCUCAACAUCAAUAAUGAAAAGCUGAAAUCUUGG